GAUCCUGGCUCAGGAUGAACGCUGGCGGCGUGCUUAACACAUGCAAGUCGAACGAAGCAACAGAGACAGAAACCUUCGGGCGGAAGACUUUGUUGACUGAGUGGCGGACGGGUGAGUAACGCGUGGGUAACCUGCCUUACACAGGGGGAUAACAGUUAGAAAUGACUGCUAAUACCGCAUAAGACCACAGCACCACACGGUGCAGGGGUAAAAACUGAGGUGGUGUAAGAUGGGCCCGCGU
rnacentral:rRNA from 1 species